UUUCUAACUAGUUGAAUUAAUAGAUAACAGUAGCUAUUGUUAAAAAAAAUUGGACAUAUGAAGAGAUCAGGAUGAUGACUAGCCUCACGGAGGAGAUCUAUAGAGAAACUGCACACAAAGGCAAGAAGUUCCCAAUUUCUUUUUUUGAUGGUGAACAUAUGGUUGAGCUUUUAAAUCCUAUGAUGUAAGUUAAUUCCAGCAAUCAAAAUUUUGAAAUCUACAACAGAGUUACAUCUUUUGUAACGUGCGAGUCGAUGUUUAUUUUGCAGCCCCAUGUACAUUAAGGAUUGGAAGGCAGAUCAUGAGUUCAUGUUCAUACAUCUCUUUUUUUUUUGCGGGGCAUCUCUUCCAUCCUAGCAUGAGAGAUCACUCUCGGUCAACUACCAAAGGAAACAAUUAAAACCGAUAGAUUGUGAGCGGAAGCGGUCUAAGAAGUGAGAAGGGGAUUGGGAUUCAUUGAUUAUCGACAGAGUACUGAUUACAAGUGUAUAUAUAUAGUAGACCAGUGCAACUGCAGACAUGCAGUAAUAUGGAGAACGUGGGCAGUCCGAGAGAAGAUUAAGUCUACUGAAAGUCUACACUCUGACAAAACCCACCAUAAAUAACAAAAUCCAUUUUCGAUAUUCUUCCGUGCAUUUAUUUUAGUGAUACUUUUUAGUUUGGAAGAUCUUUUAACUUAUUUUUUAUCUACAUAGUACUACCGUAGUCAGAAUUCAGAAAUGCUGCAUCGUGGUGGCGUGCAGUGUAGGUUUCACCUUCUUUAUGGAACCAUAGCUUGUACUAAAAUUCGGUCUGUCUUUUCGCCCACCCACACUCUUGUUCGAUAUUCAUGCUGCUCGCUGUCCUGUCCGAUAUGAUCAGUCGUGCCACAUUGUGUUCCAACAGCACACACAACAUAGUCUUACGUACUACACGCAUCA
rnacentral:lncRNA from 1 species